CCUACGGGAGGCAGCAGUGGGGAAUUUUGGACAAUGGGCGAAAGCCUGAUCCAGCAAUGCCGCGUGUGGGAAGAAGGCCUUCGGGUUGUAAACCACUUUUGUACGGAACGAAACGGUUCGCUUUAAUACAGUGGGCUAAUGACGGUACCGUAAGAAUAAGCACCGGCUAACUACGUGCCAGCAGCCGCGGUAAUACGUAGGGUGCGAGCGUUAAUCGGAAUUACUGGGCGUAAAGCGUGCGCAGGCGGUCAUAUAAGACAGUUGUGAAAUCCCCGGGCUCAACCUGGGAAUUGCAUCUGUGACUGUAUAGCUAGAGUACGGUAGAGGGGGAUGGAAUUCCGCGUGUAGCAGUGAAAUGCGUAGAUAUGCGGAGGAACACCGAUGGCGAAGGCAAUCCCCUGGACCUGUACUGACGCUCAUGCACGAAAGCGUGGGGAGCAAACAGGAUUAGAUACCCUGGUAGUCCACGCCCUAAACGAUGUCAACUGUUGUUGGGUGCAUUAGUACUCAGUAACGAAGCUAACGCGUGAAGUUGACCGCCUGGGGAGUACGGCCGCAAGGUUGAAACGUCAAAUGAAUUGAGG
rnacentral:rRNA from 1 species